GGUGCAGCGGCGCUGGCAGGGCUACGCGUGGCGUGAGCUCGGCUCGGCAACCUCCGGUAGGCGCAAGGCCAAGGACGCGCUCGGGCGGCGCGACCGCGCGGCCGCGCUCG
rnacentral:ribozyme from 13 species